rfam:Procavia capensis cont1.336255, whole genome shotgun sequence.
CCUUCAGUGAGGCCACUUGGCCCGUUUUUCCAAUGUUAGCCUAAUAAAUAUAAAUGGCACCAGAAGGUGAGGGGGCAGGGGCCACGUGAUCCCGGCACGAAAGCCACUUG